rnacentral:rRNA from 1 species
CCUACGGGAGGCAGCAGUAGGGAAUUUUGCGCAAUGGGCGAAAGCCUGACGCAGCAACGCCGCGUGAUCGAGACGCCCUUCGGGGUGUAAAGAUCUGUCAGUGGGGACGAAACUUGACGGUACCCACAGAGGAAGCACCGGCUAACUCCGUGCCAGCAGCCGCGGUAAUACGGGGGGUGCCAGCGUUGUCCGGAAUCAUUGGGCGGAAAGAGUUCGUAGGCGGCACGUAAAGUCUGGUGUUAAAGGCAGGGGCUCAACUGCUGUACGGCACUGGAUACUUGCGAGCUAGAAUGCGGUAGAGGUAAAGGGAAUGCCUGGUGUAGCGGUGAAAUGCUUAGAUAUCAGGAGGAACAUCGGUGGCGUAAGCGCUUUACUGGGCCGUAAUUGACGCUGAGGAACGAAAGCCAGGGUAGCAAAUGGGAUUAGAUACCCGAGUAGUC